rnacentral:rRNA from 1 species
UGGGGAAUAUUGGGCAAUGGGCGAGAGCCUGACCCAGCGACGCCGCGUGAGGGAAGAAGGUCCUCGGAUCGUAAACCUCUGUCAGGAGGGAAGAAGUUAUAUGCGCUUAACAGGUGCAUAUAUUGACGGUACCUCCAGAGGAAGCGCCGGCCAACUCCGUGCCAGCAGCCGCGGUAAUACGGAGGGCGCAAGCGUUAUUCGGAAUCACUGGGCGUAAAGCGCGCGUAGGCGGCCAUGCAAGUCAGGUGUGAAAGCCCUCGGCUUAACCGGGGAAUUGCACUUGAAACUGUGUGGCUAGAGUUCGGGAGAGGGUGGCGGAAUUCCAGGUGUAGGAGUGAAAUCCGUAGAUAUCUGGAGGAACACCAGAGGCGAAGGCGGCCACCUGGACCGAAACUGACGCUGAGGCGCGAAAGCGUGGGUAGCAAACA